GCGCUUGGGAACGAGACGUGGGGAGGGAACGGCGGCGGCGGAGGCCACGGGCUAGGACCGUUGGAGUCCGUCCUUAGGACGGCAGGAGGAGAGUAGGGGUGGCGGCAGCUAGGAAGGGGCCGGUGGUGAGACAUGGCGUGGAGAGGGAGAGAGGGUACCGUGGUCUAGCCCGGCUGCUCCGGUCAGGCACUGGUCUAGGCGGUGGUGGUAUCGCCCGGAAGACCCAGGCGUUGCAACAGCUCGACCUAGGCGCGGAGCAGCGUGCCGGAGUAGGGGACGCGGUGCCCGAAGAUGAUGCAGCGGGUCAGGCCGCAGCCGCGCGCCCCUACGCGGAAGACCGCGUGUAGGUAGUCGGUGUAGGAGACGUGUGGGGCUGGAGUAGGGGCGUGGGGUCCUCCAGCUCCUGGCGUUCCUGAAGCCGCUCUACCUCCCGUUCGCAGCGGACGCAAUUAGCCGCUCUACCAGCCGACGUGGUGCUGCCGCUGCCCGGCUGCGACCACCUGAACCUCGCGUCCACCGCCUAGUUCGAGCACCGCCGGUUCCCGCACGGUAUGGACGUUCUCCUGACAGUAAGAUUCCAGUAGGUAGCGCUGUAGUUCCGCCGGUUGUAGGAAGAGCUACUGUUGAAACUCGGGUUCAACGGCUGAAACCCGACCAGUUCUAGGUCGUACCUCUACUGUUGGUACAAAGAUGGGCCCACUACCCCUGAAAACCCAUUCGGAUCGUAAGGUUAAAGGAACGGCAAUGCAAAUGGACAAGGACUGGACUUAUUUUGCGUGGGUUACCGUAACUGACCAAACCGUGCAUGUACCACGGCCUCAUGUGGUUGUGGUCCUUUUAUUGGCUGGCCAGGCUGCAGAAGAGGAAGCCGGAGCACGAAGACCUCUAGUAGUGGCUGUUCUCUGGUUAGGACCGGCUGCUCGGGUUGUUCCUGCUGCUCUGAGACCAGAGAACCGUCUUCUGUUCUCGAAGUACCGGUUGGUUCCGCGUACCACGAGCGUUCGCUACUUACCACCAACAAACUGUAUCCGUGCCUGCUCCUCCUGCCCGUGCCUGCUUCCUCCUGUCUCGUGGAGAGAAGAAGGUCCAGUCACUCGUCGUAGUCCUCCUCCUCGAGUUCGUGCUGGUGGUUCUCCGUGGUGGCGUCGUCGUCUGAGCUUCCUCUGGUAUACGUUCCGUGGAGGAGAAGCCAACACUCUCACAGGUCCCCAGUACCCACGCCGAUUACGGAUACAGACACCGACGUGAACUGUGACGGGAGAGAAAUUCCCGUGUAUAGUAAAAAAUAUUGAGACGAUAUAAAAGGGUUCAGAAAUAAUAGAACGGAUCGGAACAGAACUAUACAUAACGAACUACGAUUAAUGGGUUCAAUCACGUACUACAAUUCCUAUUGGACUCUUGUGAACGGAUUCAAAUAUUCUAUACUGUACAGUGUCAGGUUCGGACGACGAGAAAGUUACGAAAACGACAACACGAAGAGAUCAACAAACUUACGAAGACGAAAACAUGGACUACUAUUCCUGGAAAGAAAAGAGAGCACCCAAUUUUAUUACCCUCAAACACACCUUCCAAGAGAACGACAUACACUUAUCGUCAAACUACAAUGAACCGUUUAUAAAAAAGAUACUAUGCUCCCUUCUCGAUGAUAGUACACGUACCUUCCAAAAGUUCACUCGUGAACAAACAAACAAAUCAUGAAUACAUCAUACCCUUUAUACAUAUCCAUACAGGUACACUAAAAAUUCGUACGAAUGACGGAUGGACUAUGUCUCAAGACAUUGACUACAAGAAAUAAACUAUCAGAUAUCGGAGAAUAUCAACUUUUCAACUUAUCAAUGUCAUACACACGAUGAUAGAGAAUAUCAAAGUCUUUUCAGUAAUUAAAUAGACAGAACAAGAUAAUUAGGACUUCUAGUUUGAGUGUACGUAUACAACGAAUUGGACUGACCAAACUCAUAACAAGACUUACCUAAUAUGAUGUCUAAGGGAAGUGACAAAAAGAAGAUCAAUAGAGUAUCCUAAUGAGUACUCCGUGUAGAUAAGAGAGGUAAAAAAUCUUGUUUUUACACUAAUUAAACCGUACGAAUACUCCUUACAACUUAUAAAAACACGUAAUCGAAGACGACCCUAACAAAACCAGCUAAACAUGGGUAACCAGGUAAUACCACGACUAGGAGAGAGGUAAAAAAUCUUGGUUUUACACUAAUUAAGUUGUACGAAUACUCCUUACAACUUAUAAAAACACGUAAUCGAAGAUGACCCUAAAAAAACCAGCUAAACAUGGGUAACCAGGUAAUACCACCACUAGGAGAAAUGAAAUAAACGACUUAUUCGAACUAGAACCUGACUAGUACAUAUAACCUUGCAUGUUCUAAGUACACCUUAAUCAAUUCAACUAUAGUUCAUGUAAACAACGUACGAGGUAAUCACCAAAUAUGAACUUUGGACCGAACAGUAAAAAUCAUUUAUAAUGUAGUAGUUUCAACAAAAUACGUACUACAACCAUUGACAUAUGAGAGGAUUGUCAAAAUAAUGAACAACAUACGUCCGACUAACCUCGGAUAAAAAAGGAAAUUUUAUGAUAAAAAACUAUAGUCCACGAGUAAUUCGACAGAUUCUUGUUCGUCUAGUAGUAAAGUGGUAAAAGCCAACGGGUUCAAUACGGUAGAGAAACCGGAUAAGGUCAGUCGUGAUAGAAGAAACAAGGAUUGAUAUUUUAACUACGUACACGGAACAAGAUUUCACCUUUUAGUAACCUUUUUAGUGACAAUCGAACAUUACAGACAAUUAAACAUGACACGACCAUGAAUAGCAAACGUUUUAUAUAGAGUGUAAAACGACAAUACUCUUACAAUAUACGUACCAAAGAACAAUUUAGAUUUUAAGACGUUGUUAAAAAAAUAUACGUACCAAAGGACAAUUUAGAUUUCAAAACGUUGUUUAAAAGUAGCAAUACUCUUAAGACAUAAGUACCUAAGUGAACUAAUAAAAAGAUGGAAAAAUAUUAAAUAAUAAACGUCUACGACCGGAAGUAAGAAGUUUUCAACCCACAUGUACUCGACAUCCUUCUGCUUAGGGUUUCUUUUUGGUGUGGGUCUUACGCAAAAUCGAGUGACCUCGAUCAAUACACAUAUAAAUCGACAUAAAAUAUCGACUUAUAGUCUAAACAUGAUACAUGAAACGAACCGACAACAUUACAUGAUAGAGUCAAAACCCACAUGUCCUAACAUUACAUGACCAACCGACAACAUACUUUAUAAUACGGAAUAACCGAGAAAAACUUAGUUUAAUAGAUUAAUGUGUUUAUAUCAUAACU
rnacentral:rRNA from 1 species